UACGAAGGGUGCAAGCGUUGUUCGGAAUCAUUGGGCGUAAAGCGCGCGCAGGCGGAUCAGCAAGUCAGAUGUGAAAUCUCGGAGCUCAACUCCGAAACUGCGUCUGAAACUGCUAGUCUAGAAUGUCGGAGGGGGCAGGGGAAUUUCACGUGUAGGGGUAAAAUCCGUAGAGAUGUGAAGGAACACCGGAGGCGAAGGCGCCUGCCUGGACGACUAUUGACGCUGAGGUGCGAAAGUGUGGGGAGCGAACAGG
rnacentral:rRNA from 1 species